UACCAUCACCCCGAGUGGUCGGGACGAUUAUUGGGCCUAAAGCAUCCGUAGCCGGUUUUACAAGUCCCCCGUUAAAUCCAGCUGCUUAACAGAUGGGCUGCGGAGGAUACUAUAAGACUAGGAGGCAGGAGAGGCAAGCGGUACUCAGUGGGUAGGGGUAAAAUCCGUUGAUCCAUUGAAGACCACCAGUGGCGAAGGCGGCUUGCCAGAAUGCGCUCGACGGUGAGGGAUGAAAGCUGGGGGAGCAAACCGG
rnacentral:rRNA from 1 species